rnacentral:rRNA from 1 species
GUCGAACGAGGUAGCAAUACCUAGUGGCGGACGGGUGAGGAAUACGUAGGGAUCUGCCUUUAAGUGGGGGAUAACCCGGGGAAACCCGGAUUAAUACCGCAUGAUCUCGCAAGAGCAAAGAGGGGGACCGCAAGGCCUCUCGCUUUUAGAGGAACCUACGUCGGAUUGGCUAGUUGGUGAGGUAAUGGCUCACCAAGGCGACGAUCCGUAACUGGUCUGAGAGGAUGAUCAGUCACACCGGAACUGAGACACGGUCCGGACUCCUACGGGAGGCAGCAGAAGGG